GAUGAACGCUGGCGGCGUGCUUAACACAUGCAAGUCGAACGGUGAGGCCCAAGCUUGCUUGGGUACUCGAGUGGCGAACGGGUGAGUAACACGUGGGUGAUCUGCCCUCCACUUCGGGAUAAGCCUGGGAAACUGGUUCUAAUACCGGAUAUUCCCUCUUCUUCGCUUUUGUGGUGGUAGGUUUUUUCGGUGUGGGAUGAGCUCGCGUCCUAUCCGCUUGUUGGUUUGGUAAUGGCCUACCAAGCCGUCGACGGGUAGCCGGCCUGAGAUGGUGUACGGCUACAUUGGGACUGAGACACGGACGAGACGCAGACGGGAGGCAGAAGGGGGGAAGAGUGCACAACGGGUGCAGGCCUGAUGCAGCGACGAUGCGGGGGUGAUGACGGUGUUCGGGUUGUAAUCAUGUUUAGCUAGGGACAAAGCGUGUUGUGACGGUACCGGGAGAAGAAGCACCGGCUAACUACGUG
rnacentral:rRNA from 1 species